UCUGGUUGAUCUUGCCAGUAGUCAUAUGCUUGUCUCAAAGAUUAAGCCAUGCAAGUGUAAGUACACACGGACUGUACAGUGAAACUGCGAAUGGCUCAUUAAAUCACACCUAAUAUACUGGAUAUUCUCAGUUACUUGGAUAACUGCGGUAAUUCUGGAGCUAAUACAUGCGAAAAAAUCCCGAACUUACGUGAGGGAUGCUUUUAUUAGACCAAAACCAAACGGCUUCGGCUGUACCAUUGGUGACUCUGAAUAACAUUUGCAAAUCGCAUGGCUUUACGCCGGCGAUAUUUCCGCCUAAGGUGUGCCCUAUCAACUGUCGACUGUGGCAUAGACGCCCACAGUGGUUUUGACGGGUAACGGGGAAUCAGGGUUCGAUUCCGGAGAGGGAGCCUGAGAAACGGCUACCACUUCUAAGGAAGGCAGCAGGCACGCAAAUUACCCAAUGAUCGAAGAUCGAGGUAGUGACGAAAAAUAACGAAGCCGGACUCAUCCGAGGCCCGGUUAUCGGAAUGAGUACACUUUAAAUCCUUUAACGAGGAACAAUUGGAGGGCAAGUCUGGUGCCAGCAGCCGCGGUAAUUCCAGCUCCAAUAGCGUAUAUUAAAGUUGUUGCGGUCAAAAAGCUCGUAGUUGGAUUUCGGUGAGCAAGGAGGGGUUCAUCUUGUUUGAUGUAACUGCUAUCUUGUCUCGCGAUUUUUCGGCAGAGGUUUCAACGGUGCCUUUCACUGGGUGUCUUGGGAUACUGUCGGGUUUACUUUGAAAAAAUUAGAGUGCUCAAAGCAGGCUGUUAAAAGCUUGAAUAUUCGUGCAUGGAAUAAUAAAAUAGGAAGUCGUUUCUAUUUUGUUGGUUUUUGGAAAUCGACUUAAUGAUUAAUAGGGACAGUCGGGGGCAUUAGUAUUCAGACGACAGAGGUGAAAUUCUUGGACCGUCUGAAGACUAACUACUGCGAAAGCAUUUGCCAAGAAUGUUUUCAUUAAUCAAGAACGAAAGUUAGAGGUUCGAAGGCGAUCAGAUACCGCCCUAGUUCUAACCAUAAACGAUGCUAACUAGCGAUCCGCAGUUGUUUAUUAUUACGACUCUGCGGGAAGCUUCCGGGAAACCAAAGUACAGUUCCGGGGGAAGUAUGGUUGCAAAGCUGAAACUUAAAAGAAUUGACGGAAGGGCACCACCAGGAGUGGAGCCUGCGGCUUAAUUUGACUCAACACGGGAAAUCUCACCAGGCCCGGACACUGGAAGGAUUGACAGAUUGAGAGCUCUUUCUCGAUUCGGUGGGUGGUGGUGCAUGGCCGUUCUUAGUUGGUGGAGUGAUUUGUCUGGUUAAUUCCGAUAACGAACGAGACUCUGUCCUGCUAAAUAGUUUCAUCGUCAUUUUUUUUACGGUGAAAAUUCUUCUUAGAGGGACUGGUAGCGUCUAGCUACACGAGAUUGAGCAAUAACAGGUCUGUGAUGCCCUUAGAUGUUCUGGGCUGCACGCGCGCUACACUGAAAGGAUCAGCGUGUCUUCCCUGACCGAGAGGUUCGGGUAACCCGUUGAAACCCUUUCGUGGUUAAGGAUAGUGGCUUGCAAUUGUUCCACUUGAAUCAGGAAUUCCCAGUAAGCGUAAGUCAUAAGCUUACGUUGAUUACGUCCCUGCCCUUUGUACACACCGCCCGUCGCUACUACCGAUUGAAUGUUUUAGUGAGGUAUUUGGAUGGAACCUCUGGAGGGUAACCUCUCAGUGCUGUUCUAGAAGAUUCCCAAACUUGAGCAUUUAGAGGAAGUAAAAGUCGUAACAAGGUUUCCGUAGGUGAACCUGCGGAAG
rnacentral:rRNA from 1 species